AGUUGGGCUGGCACAUGUUUCAGUGUCUCUGCAAUGUAGCACUCUACGUCCUUCUCUCCCAGAUCAGACUUGCAUUUCAUAACAGCAUCUGGAACAAAACAGAAAUCACGAAUAUUAUACUCAUGUUUGAUGACUUUACACAGAGUUGUGUCAAUCAGAGGCAAUUUCUCCCUUUUCCCCUUCAAACUGAAGUGGCUCCACACGAUGUUUGUCGCUACUGCCCGCAUCACUCUCCUCACACAAUCCCCUGGAUUUGCCCCACCAAUAAGGCUGAGAUGGUGAAUCUGUGAAACAUCAUGGUUUGGCAUGCAGGUGUCAACAUCACUCUCCACAGCAGAAUGAUAUUCUGCUGCUUUGCACCACUUGAGGGCCUUUGCAAAAUUGUCUGAAAAUAUAAAGCCAAUGCACUGGGCUACAAAGCCAACCGUCGACUCCUCCGUGAAUUCAACGAUGACAUACAUACUAAGGAAGGGAUGAGGAAGAUCUUUUUUGGAGAUCCACCUCAUUGUCGUUUGUUUUUUACUGAAGUUGUACACCCCCAGAAGAAAUUAGUGGCAGGACUCAAUGAACAAUGGUGCGGGACUAUGAUAAAUUCUGCAAAGAACAUGUCCAUCUUUCUCCUCAUCGUUGGUGAUCUCGCAGCCAUUGUCAUCGUCUAGGAUGAAUGCUCUAUCCUUGCUCUUCUGUUUGUCUGUCUUUGUUGUUUUUAAUUGUGGAUGCACGUCUUUCCUCAAUCAUGUUGGCAAUCUGGCUAAGAGGGUGUGUUCCACUUCGUACCAUCUUCUUGAUUGUAUGCAGGUAUGUUUCGAAUUUAAAUGCACUGCAGUUGUCCAGACCAUUAAAUUGUAUAGCAUCAUCAGUGAUGUGGAGCAUUGAGUGGAUGUUGUACACUAUGAACUCAUCGCCAUAGAGCUCUCGUCCUCUGCUGACAAAGUAGCUGAGCAAGCAUCUAGCAUAUUGUGAGUGCUUUUUGACCAGUGCUGGGGAAACUAAAAUGCACAUUGCCACACUGAAUGCCAAGAAAUGUAGGUACAUGUCAUGCCCAAGAAUUCCUUUCAACACAAGCUUGCCUGUAUACAGCAAGAACUGACGGAAUUCUGUUGCCUUCCAUCUCUCCAGCUCAUCCAGGCCUCGAGGGGUGCGAGCAAAAAUGGAAGGAAUUUGACUCCUAAGCUGAAGCAACCUAGAGCUGACUACUUGUUUUUGGGUGGUGGAGAGCCUGACUCUUCUUUCUCCACGGGUCCAACUGACAAGAAGCCUCUUCAUCACCCCCAAGCAUGCCUGAUGCAUGUAGUCGAUUGGGAAGCUUUUGACCAUAUCAAUGGGAAGCUGGAUGAGUGGAGUAUUGGCAUUGUGAUACUCAGGCUGAACUUGGCUCCUAAAUGAAUCAUCUGUGCGCAAGGCCAUGAGACAUCAGAUCAUUGAGGUCUGCAAUAACAUCAUCUAGGAAAGUCAGAUCGGUGGGUUUCUUGUUUCCGCAUGUUAACGUUGCUGGAAAAACGAUGAUGGGCUUGAGAUGGACAGCACAGAGCACAGGCCACAUAACUUUACUUGAGUUCUUGAACAAUGGCAGGCCAUCAACGUUGAAUGACAGAUUCAUUGUGUCAUGGUCCAGGAUCUCUUCAACAGGGUGUUUUGAGCAGAGUACGAGCAGAGGAUGGAAGAUUGGUGUGGCCAUGUUUCUGAAGAAUUUUCAACAGCAUUGUUCUUUACUUCGAACUGAGAAGCCCAGGAUGCCAGUUCUGUUGCCAGGGAUAAGCUUGCCAUGCUGUCUUCCUGGUCAGAUGUACCAUCUUUUUUUCUGCAAUGUCCAUGACUUCCUCUAAGUCAUCCUCCCAGUCAGUUUCUUCUGAAGGCCAGGAUGCUUCAGAGGACAUUGGAGAUGAAAGGUUCAUUGUGUUCUCCGUGGAACCUAAGGUAUCACCUGCAUCCCAUUGACCUUCUGUGACUGUUUCGGACUCUUCCAGACUGUCCAAUUCAGUGUUGUUAUUUUGUGUAGAUAUCUUUUGAAGAACACGUUUAGUUGCUCUCCAGGAUCUUAGAUACUGCCUCAAACGUUCUAUUUUGUCCUCACUCAUUGUUAAGCCUGUAAAUAUUUUAGUGUAAUGUCUGAAUGUGCUUCUGUUUUUCUAACAA